AACGAACGCUGGCGGCAGGCCUAAUACAUGCAAGUCGAGCGCUCUAGCAAUAGAGAGCGGCGCACGGGUGCGUAACGCGUGGGAAUGUACCUCUAGGUGCGGAACAACGUCGGGAAACUGACGCUAAUACCGCAUAAUAUCUCCGGAUCAAAGAUUUAUCGCCUAGGGAUCAGCCCGCGUUGGAUUAGCUAGUUGGUGAGGUAAUGGCUCACCAAGGCGACGAUCCAUAGCUGGUCUGAGAGGAUGAUCAGCCACACUGGGACUGAGACACGGCCCAGACUCCUACGGGAGGCAGCAGUAAGGAAUAUUGGACAAUGGAGGAAACUCUGAUCCAGCCAUGCCGCGUGAGUGAAGAAGGCC
rnacentral:rRNA from 1 species